ensembl:snRNA LOC120095797 U2 spliceosomal RNA
AUCGCUUCUCGGCCUUUUGGCUAAGAUCAAGUGUAGGAAUUGACUUUAUUUCUUGAGGUAUGUGUAUUACAUAUUUGGAGUACUUAAUUUUGAUCUACCCAUCGCCUCUGACCACUGUGGUACAUUAU